AUCAACCGAGAUUCCCCCAGUAGCGGCGAGCGAACGGGGAGCAGCCCGGAGUCUGAAUCAGCUUGUGUGUUAGUGGAAGCGUCUGGAAAGUCGCAGGGUACAGGGUGAUACUCCCGUACACUAAAACACACAGGUUGUGAACUCGAAGAGUAGGGCGGGACACGUGGUAUCCUGUCUGAAUAUGGGGGGACCAUCCUCCAAGGCUAAAUACUCCUGACUGACCGAUAGUGAACCAGUACCGUGAGGGAAAGGC
rnacentral:rRNA from 2 species